GUUGUAUAGUUAAGUGAGAAAGCGUACAGGGCGGAUGCCUUGGCAAUCAGAGGCGAAGAAGGACGUGCUAAUCUGCGAAAAGCGUGGGUGAGUUGAUAAGAAGCGUUUAACCCACGAUGUCCGAAUGGGGAAACCCGAUAGGCGAAGAGCCUAUCAUUGCGAGGUGAAUAAAAUAGCCUCGUAAGGCGAACCGGGAGAACUGAAACAUCUAAGUACCCCGAGGAAAAGAAAUCAACCGAGAUUCUGUGAGUAGCGGCGAGCGAAAGCGGAGGAGCCAGUAAGUAAUAGCAGCAGAGAUAGAGGAAUUGUCUGGGAAGGCAAGCGACACAGGGUGAUAGCCCCGUACUUAAAAUCCAGGCUGUGGUACUAAGCUUACGAGAAGUAGGGCGGGACACGAGGAAUCCUGUCUGAAGAUGGGGGGACCAUCCUCCAAGGCUAAAUACUCCUGAUUGACCGAUAGUGAACCAGUACUGUGAAGGAAAGGCGAAAAGAACCCCGGUGAGGGGAGUGAAAUAGAACCUGAAACCCUGUACGUACAAGCAGUGGGAGCCCGCAAGGGUGACUGCGUACCUUUUGUAUAAUGGGUCAGCGACUUAUAUUUUGUAGCGAGGUUAACUGAAUAAGGGAGCCGAAGGGAAACCGAGUCUUAACUGGGCGAAGAGUUGCAAGGUAUAGACCCGAAACCCGGUGAUCUAGCCAUGGGCAGGUUGAAGGUUGGGUAACACUAACUGGAGGACCGAACCGACUAAUGUUGAAAAAUUAGCGGAUGACCUGUGGCUGGGGGUGAAAGGCCAAUCAAACCGGGAGAUAGCUGGUUCUCCCCGAAAUCUAUUUAGGUAGAGCCUUGUGUGAAUACCUUUGGGGGUAGAGCACUGUUUCGGCUAGGGGCCCAUCCCGGGUUACCAAACCGAUGCAAACUCCGAAUACCAAAGAGUAAUGCACAGGAGACACACGGCGGGUGCUAACGUCCGUCGUGGAGAGGGAAACAACCCAGACCGCCAGCUAAGGUCCCAAAAUCUAUAUUAAGUGGGAAACGAAGUGGGAAGGCUUAGACAGCUAGGAUGUUGGCUUAGAAGCAGCCACCAUUUAAAGAAAGCGUAAUAGCUCACUAGUCGAGUCGGCCUGCGCGGAAGAUGUAACGGGGCUAAAAUAUAGUACCGAAGCUGCGGCAUCAAUCGAAGGAUUGUUGGGUAGGGGAGCGUUGUGUAAGCGGAAGAAGGUGGUUCGAGAGGAUUGCUGGACGUAUCACAAGUGCGAAUGCUGACAUAAGUAACGAUAAAACGGGUGAAAAACCCGUUCGCCGGAAGACCAAGGGUUCCUGUCCAACGUUAAUCGGGGCAGGGUGAGUCGGCCCCUAAGGCGAGGCUGAAAAGCGUAGUCGAUGGGAAACGGGUUAAUAUUCCCGUACUUGGUAAAGCUGCGAUGUGGGGACGGAGAAGGUUAGGUUAUCGACCUGUUGGAGAUGGUCGUUUAAGUUGGUAGGUGGGUGAGUUAGGCAAAUCCGGCUCACCGUUAACACUGAGAGAUGAUGACGAGGCACUAAGGUGCUGAAGUAACUGAUACCACACUUCCAGGAAAAGCCACUAAGCUUCAGGCUUUACUAAACCGUACUGAAAACCGACACAGGUGGUCAGGUAGAGAAUACUCAGGCGCUUGAGAGAACUCGGGUGAAGGAACUAGGCAAAAUAGCACCGUAACUUCGGGAGAAGGUGCGCCGGCGUAGAUUGUAGUGACUUGCUCACGAAGGUUGAACCGGUCGAAGAUACCAGCUGGCUGCAACUGUUUAUUAAAAACACAGCACUCUGCAAACACGAAAGUGGACGUAUAGGGUGUGAUGCCUGCCCGGUGCUGGAAGGUUAAUUGAUGGUGUAAUCGAAAGAGAAGCUCCUGAUCGAAGCCCCAGUAAACGGCGGCCGUAACUAUAACGGUCCUAAGGUAGCGAAAUUCCUUGUCGGGUAAGUUCCGACCUGCACGAAUGGCAUAAUGAUGGCCAGGCUGUCUCCACCCGAGACUCAGUGAAAUUGAAAUCGCCGUGAAGAUGCGGUGUACCCGCGGCUAGACGGAAAGACCCCGUGAACCUUUACUAUAGCUUGACACUGAACCUUGAAUUUUGAUGUGUAGGAUAGGUGGGAGACUAUGAAGCGGUAACGCCAGUUAUCGUGGAGUCGUUGUUGAAAUACCACCCUUUAACGUUUGAUGUUCUAACGAAGUGCCUGAAACGGGUACUCGGACAGUGUCUGGUGGGUAGUUUGACUGGGGCGGUCUCCUCCCAAAGUGUAACGGAGGAGCACGAAGGUUUGCUAAUGACGGUCGGACAUCGUCAGGUUAGUGCAAUGGUAUAAGCAAGCUUAACUGCGAGACAGACAAGUCGAGCAGGUGCGAAAGCAGGUCAUAGUGAUCCGGUGGUUCUGAAUGGAAGGGCCAUCGCUCAACGGAUAAAAGGUACUCCGGGGAUAACAGGCUGAUACCGCCCAAGAGUUCAUAUCGACGGCGGUGUUUGGCACCUCGAUGUCGGCUCAUCACAUCCUGGGGCUGAAGUAGGUCCCAAGGGUAUGGCUGUUCGCCAUUUAAAGUGGUACGCGAGCUGGGUUUAGAACGUCGUGAGACAGUUCGGUCCCUAUCUGCCGUGGGCGUUGGAGAAUUGAGAGGGGCUGCUCCUAGUACGAGAGGACCGGAGUGGACGCAUCACUGGUGUACCAGUUGUCUCGCCAGAGGCAUUGCUGGGUAGCUAAAUGCGGAAGAGAUAAGUGCUGAAAGCAUCUAAGCACGAAACUUGCCUUGAGAUGAGUUCUCCCAGUCUAUAAGACUGUAAGGGUUGUUGGAGACUACGACGUAGAUAGGCUGGGUGUGUAAGCGGUGUGAGCCGUUGAGCUAACCAGUACUAAUUGCCCGAGAGGCUUAACUAUACAACGCUCAAGGGUUUUG
rnacentral:rRNA from 1 species